AGAGAUUUAAUUUCCUUUUUCGAUGACCUGUACACCACUUCAAAAUCAACCAACAACCAUUAGUUAUUUAAUGUGUAAAUUAUUUGUUUUAUGUUCUUCACAAUAGGCCCAAAACCAACCUAAAUUAAAAAUCCAACCCGACUAAAAAAAAACCACGAAACAUUCCCUCAUUUCUUUCUUCUUUUUCCCAUAUUUUUAUUCUUAUCCAUUUUCCCCCAAAUAAACCAUAAACUCUAUUAAAAAACCCUUACCAUUCUUC
rnacentral:lncRNA from 1 species